AAUAUUGGACAAUGGGCGAAAGCCUGAUCCAGCCAUGCCGCGUGUGUGAAGAAGGUCUUCGGAUUGUAAAGAACUUUAAGUUGGGAGGAAGGGCAGUAAGCUAAUACCUUGCUGUUUGUACGUUACCGACAGAAUAAGCACCGGCUAAUUUAGUGCCAGAAGCCGCGGGAAUCCGAAGGGUGCAAGCGUUAAUCGGAAUUACUCGGCGUAAAGCGCGCGUAGGUUGUUCGUUAAGUUGAAUGUGAAAGCCCCGGGCUCAACCUGGGAACUGCAUCCAAAACUGGCGAGCUAGAGUACGGUAGAGGGUAGUGGAAUUUCCUGUUUAGCGGUGAAAUGCGUAGAUAUAGGAAGGAACACCAGUGGCGAAGGCGACCACCUGGACUGAUACUGACACUGAGGUGCGAAAGCGUGGGGAGCAAACAGG
rnacentral:rRNA from 1 species